rnacentral:rRNA from 1 species
GACAAACGCUGGCGGCGUGCUUAACACACGCAAGUCGAACGGAAAGGCCCUGCUUUUGUGGGGUGCCCGAGUGGCGAACGGGUGAGUAACACGUGAGUAACCUGCCCUUGACUUUGGGAUAACUUCAGGAAACUGGGGCUAAUACCGGAUAGGAGCUCCUGCUGCAUGGUGGGGGUUGGAAAGUUUCGGCGGUUGGGGAUGGACUCGCGGCUUAUCAGCUUGUUGGUGGGGUAGUGGCUUACCAAGGCUUUGACGGGUAGCCGGCCUGAGAGGGUGACCGGCCACAUUGGGACUGAGAUACGGCCCAGACUCCUACGGGAGGCAGCAGUGGGGAAUAUUGCACAAUGGGCGGAAGCCUGAUGCAGCAACGCCGCGUGCGGGAUGACGGCCUUCGGGUUGUAAACCGCUUUCGCCUGUGACGAAGCGUGAGUGACGGUAAUGGGUAAAGAAGCACCGGCUAACUACGUG